rnacentral:rRNA from 1 species
CCUACGGGUGGCAGCAGUGAGGAAUAUUGCACAAUGGACGAAAGUCUGAACCAGCCAAGUAGCGUGAAGGAUGACGGCCCUCUGCGUGGUAAACUUCGUUUGUAGAGGAGUAAAACGAGGCACGUGUGCCUUUUUGCAUGUACUUUAUGAAUCAAGAUCGGCUAGCUCCGUGCCAGCAGCCGCGGUAAUACGGAGGGUCCGAGCGUUAUCCGGAUUUAUUGGGUUUAAAGGGAGCGUAGAUGGGUGUGUAAGUCAGUUGUGAAAGUUUGCGGCUCAACCGUAAAAUUGCAAUGGAUACUGGCAGGCUUGAGUGCAGGUGAGGUAGGCGGAAUUCGUGGUGUAGCGGUGAAAUGCGUAGAUAUCAGGAAGAACCCCGGUUGCGAAGGCAGCUUACUAAACUGUGACUGACGUUGAGGCUCGAAAGUGUGGGUAUCAAACAGGAUUAGAUACCCGUGUGGUC